CGAGGAGCUGGAAUUCCGCUAACCUGCGGGUGUAUUACCAGUAGAACGACAAAGCCAGGAAGACAGUUCGAAAAAUGUACAAUUCUUUUCAUUUCAAUAAUUCCUGGUUACAACGGUGUGUUCGUGUGAUUACAAAGAAUUCCCAGAGGGGAAUUGGGGAGUAAAGAAAACAAGGAAGAGGUGGAGACUCCGUGGAGCUGAAGAUCUGGGAUCCCGAACCCUCCAUCCGAAGCAGCUGCAAUCCCACCGGGCGUGGGUGCUUCUCCCUGGAGGCGCCAUCGACGCCUCACGCAAAAGACGAAGAGCCGGCGCGGACGAAGAAGAAGUGGACGAAGGAGGAGUUCCCGCUGCCUCCAGAGGAACGCCACCUCCAAGGGAUAUUCUGGUCCUCCCCAGGAGAAGGGGAGGGAAGGAACACAAGGGAGAAGAGCGCGAGGAGGCGCGAACCCGGAUGAAGCGUCUGGCGCAGAGCUCAAUCGGGAGGCGGGGCUGAAAGGAGGGGGGAUGUGAUCCCGGAUGAAACGCCUAGAGCGGAGUUCCGCCGGGGAGAACCUCCUUGUUGAUCCCAGAUGAAACGGC
rnacentral:lncRNA from 1 species